rnacentral:tRNA from 1 species
UCCAGGGUAGCCUAGUGGACAUGGCACCUGCCCGGUAAGCAGAAGGUUGUGGGUUCGAGUCCCGCCCCUGGAC